UGGGGUGAAUGCUUUAUCUCUUUCUUUUGGUGAUUGCUCUCUAGGUGUUUAUUUUUAUUUCUCUAUGAAAUGGUUUUGUUUGUAGUUUCUUUUGUGGGGUUGUUUUAUUUUGAUUACUGGAUUGAGUAUGUUAUAAAGUUUAGUUUAUGUAAUUGGGUAUACGAUGGGGUUUUGAUAAUUCAAUUUGAGUCAUGUCUUUUAUAUAGAAAUGAGUUUUCAUAAAAUAAUAUGAGAUAUUGCUCACUAUGUGUUUGUGUUUAUGUCACUACGUGUUUGUGUUUAUGAAAAAUAAUAUACUUAUUGGUUUGAUAUAUAAUUGCUCGACCGAAAGAUGUUAUGCAGUUUAAUGGCUUGGUAAGGUCAAACGCAAUCACGACAUCAUAUUUUAUUUUGUUGUUGAUAUCAUGAUGAAUAGGAAGGUGGACUUGAGAAAAAGGUAAAUUCUUUGGGGCUAGUAUUUCUUCAAGAAGAUUUUUUGUGCAAUCGAUUUUCUUUUAUUUUGCUUAAGUGAUGGAACCAAAACACAGAAUUUGUAAUAUUAUGCAUUUCAGUACAAUAUAAUAGGUAAGUGUGGUAUUUAUGUGCUUGUGUUAUGAGCAAAUUUUAGAAUAACACCAAAGGACUAUAGAUAUCAAUUUUACUUGUGACUUGUUGGAUAUUGUUCUUAGACCCACCUUCCCCAUUGUGGUCAACUUAUGUAUUGAGUUUCUAAAGGUUGGUAAUCUUUUACUCAAGCUUUUCUUAAUCUUCUUAUAAGGUUUGGGUCAAGGAGAGUGAAAUAUAAGGUUUUGAUUAGGUGUUUUCAACAUGUUCUUUUUAAUCUUAAUUAAGCAUAUAGGCUGUUGGAGACUUGGAGUGUCAGAAAAUAUCGUUGCAUGGUUUUAUGCUUUAGACUAGUGUAUUUAUUCAUAAUCAAGUGCAAAGGGAAUACAUUUCAUUGAAUUGAAUGUACUUCUUAACAAUGAACUUACUUGAAGUUCAAGAAUACAAGGGUGAGAGGUGUGGAGCAUCGAAGUUGUGACCACAAAAGAAAACUAUACAUUCAAGCAUAUAUGGACCACACCAACUUCCUUUCAUAUUCAUAUGCUUAAUCCUAACUUGGCUCAUGGUAACUUGAUUCUUGUUUUAUUGAUACAAUUACUUAUUUUAUUUUUUGUAGUGUCCUCGCCAAGAAAAUGGUAUAAAUUGUGGGUACUUUGUGAUGAGGUUUAUGAAAAAGAUUCUCAUUUCAAAACUAAAUGAGAUUCCAAAGCUGUACAUUGAUGGUUUCAAGUGUGUGACAUACUCAAAAGAUUAACUAAUAGAAAUCCAAGAAGAAUGGUGUCGGUUCAUGAUCAACCUAAAAGUUAUAUGAUUUUUUUAUAAUAAAGUGGAGGAGAGUGAACGAAAUUUGGAAAUGAAUGAUGAUUUGCCUGCUUGUUUUGGAUAAAAAUGUUGUGACGACCAAGAAGAUAGAUGAAGACUGCAUGCUACCAUAGAAGAUUUUGAUCCUUAUGUUAACUAAUUAGUUGUAACUUAUAUUAAUGGCUAUACAUUAUGACUUUUAUUCUGUAUAUACAUACAUUUUUUAUGAUAUGUUUAAGUUUUAUUUGAU